UACGGGGGGGGCAAGCGUUGUUCGGAAUUACUGGGCGUAAAGGGCCAGUAGGCGGCCAACUAAGUCGGAUGUGAAAUCCCCAGGCUUAACCUGGGAACUGCAUCCGAUACUGGAUGGCUUGAAUUCGGGAGAGGGAUGCAGAAUUCCAGGUGUAGCGGUGAAAUGCGUAGAUAUCUGGAGGAAUACCGGUGGCGAAGGCGGCAUCCUGGACCGACAUUGACGCUGAACGGCGAAAGCUAGGGGAGCAUACGGG
rnacentral:rRNA from 1 species